CCUACGGGUGGCAGCAGUGGGGAAUAUUGCACAAUGGGGGAAACCCUGAUGCAGCGACGCCGCGUGAGUGAAGAAGUAAUUAGUUAUGUAAAGCUCUAUCUGCAGGGAAGAAAAUGACGGUACCUGAGGAAGAAGCCACGGCUAACUACGUUCCGGCAGCCGCGGUAAUACGUAGGGGGCCAGCGUUAUCCGGAUUUACUGGGCGUAAGGGGAGCGUAGACGGAAGUGCAAGUCUGGAGUGAAAGGCGGGGGCUCAACCCCCGGACUGCUCUGGAAACUGUACGGCUGGAGUGCAGGAGAGGUAAGUGGAAUUCCUAGUGGAGCGGUGAAAUGCGUAGAUAGUAGGAGGAACCCCAGUUGCGAAGGCAGCUUACUGGACUGUAACUGACGUGGAGGCUCGAAAGCGUGGGGAGCAAACAGGAUUAGAUACCCGAGUAGUC
rnacentral:rRNA from 1 species